GGGGGAUUUUACUACCUUAUUUCUAAAACAGUCUUUGGGAUGUGGAACAAACCCAGGCAUGCAUUAAGAUGGCCAAACAAUAUUUCUAAUUUUUUGCAGGGUAAAAUGGAUGCCAUAUACAAGCUGAAAAUUUUUGUGAUGUUUCUGUCUCUGGCUACUUUCACAGUCAUGGUGAUACUGAAUGCUGGAAACGCCACUGGGAUAUUCAAAGGUCUGUUCAGGACAACCCCUGGAAACAUCUCGGCAAAGUACAACACUGACUUCACACCGGCUGGCUGGACUUUCCUCAUCUGGAAUGUCAUCUAUGCCUGGCAGCUGGCCUGGCUUCUCUAUGCCUUGUCAGGGAUCUGUCGAAGGAAUGAACUUGGAUGUGUCUACAUAAAGCCAGACUUGCUGCCGAUACCUUUUUAUGUGAUGUGGAUUCUGAAUAAUGGCCUCAAUGUUGGAUGGCUGUUUCUAUGGGACCGAGAAUACCUUCUCCCAGCCCUGGUGUUCCUGGCAGCCCUGACUUUUACCACGUGUGCCGCCCUCUUCAUCUCGCACCGAGCGCUGAGCAUCCAUUCCUCGUGGUUUGUGAAGGGUCACAAAGCUGAGCUCUGGCUCAUCCGCAUCCUAGUUCAGAACGGGCUGGCGCUGUACGCAACGUGGACCACCAUCGCCACUCUGCUCAACUUUGCCAUUGUCUUAAUCUACAAGUGGAAUGUGUCCAACGAGAUGGCGACAAUUGCUUCUCUAAGCAUCCUUGCUCUUGUCCUAGUAAUAUGGUUUUAUCUAGAAAACUUCUUUCUUGACAAGUAUGUUCGCUAUAACCUUACAAUCUACCCAGUGGUCAUAAUAGCUCUGACUGGCAGUGCGUGCAAGAACGUCUCAUUUUCAUCCCCAACGACGAACGGCAUUUUUAUAGUUUUUCUGCUGGGGACAACUUGCUUGAUCUUUGCUGUGCGGCUGGGACUAGUCACGUGGAGACACUGUAAGAGACCGCUGGAAGCAUCGGAAACCCCAGACCCAUCAGGCACAGUGGCCUGAGACCUCUGGUAUGUUGUGGCAGAUACUUUAAAGGGGGAAAAAUAGGACCUGGCCAUCUGCUGGUUCUUCCUUCCAGUGACAAUUGCCUUGCGUUCUUCUCUAACUCUUUCCAUUCCAAAUGUGGGUGGCUUGUGUUUGCAAACCUGUCCUGCUGCCGCAUUCCCUCAGAUCAGCUUCUCACUGCCAACCCCACCUUGAACCCGCACCCUCCUUCAUUUGGUUUGACUCUGGAUCGGCGCAGGGAAAAAGUCCUUCAGCUGAACAGCCCGAUGAUCACCUUUUGUGAUGACUGAGCUCUGGCUCUCCGCUCCUGGGCUGCCACCAGGCACUUGACAGGCUUGCACAGACAGUUGCCCACAUUCUUUUCCUUGGUAGCUUGGUUUUCUUGAAGUGCAGCUCUAAGCUGCCUGGGAGCAGAGGUGGGCAGCAGGAGGUCUGUUGUUCCUUUGGCCAUUCCCAGCUGGCUAUCUGCAAGCCCUGGUGGUGUGAGCAGCUCCCCAGGCAGCAAUUGCUCCCUUCCCUGCUUCUCUCCAUCAUGAUGGGAACAGAUCUUACAGCUCCAGAGAUCUGCCUUUGCAGUGUCAGCUCCAAGGAGGGGAGGAGGAAUGACUGAGUCCUAAUCACACAAUUGGAAGCCUUCAACCUACUGGAAGUAGCUCUAGAAACUGAAGAUGUGUUCACUUUUCAGGAGCCAGUAAGGUUUCUGGGUCUCUUCCCUGGUUGGUUUUUUGUUUUUUUUCCUGACUUUCUCAGUUAAGUUAGUUGCUGUGCACAGUUUGUGCUGGCCACAUGCCUCCUGCCAGAGGAUGGGUUGUAGCCACUCUGGCAGGAGGUUAGACAUACAGGUGAGGUGACACCUGGUCUGGGGUAAAGCCUGCUGCUUCAAAGGAUGCCUGUUUAAGGAAGAAAAAAAAAAAUAAAAUUAUUUGAACCAGUAGAGUGAGUUCA
ensembl:lncRNA